rnacentral:rRNA from 1 species
UGUGGGAUGAAGGCCUUCGGGUUGUAAACCACUUUUGGCGGGGGCGAAAUAUCGAGUGCUAAUACCAUUCGGUGAUGACGGUACCCGCAGAAUAAGCACCGGCUAACUACGUGCCAGCAGCCGCGGUAAUACGUAGGGUGCAAGCGUUAAUCGGAAUUACUGGGCGUAAAGCGUGCGCAGGCGGUUAGGUAAGACAGAUGUGAAAUUCCCGGGCUCAACCUGGGAACUGCAUUUGUGACUGCCUGACUAGAGUGCGGCAGAGGGGAGUGGAAUUCCGCGUGUAGCAGUGAAAUGCGUAGAUAUGCGGAGGAACACCGAUGGCGAAGGCAACUCCCUGGGCCUGCACUGACGCUCAUGCACGAAAGCGUGGGGAGCAAACAGGAUUAGAUACCCUGGUAGUCCACGCCCUAAACGAUGUCGACUAGUUGUUGGACGGGAUACUGUUCAGUAACGAAGCUAACGCGUGAAGUCGACCGCCUGGGGAGUACGGCCGCAAGGUUAAAACUCAAAUGAAUUGACGGA